CCUACGGGGUGCAGCAGUGGGGAAUAUUGCACAAUGGGGGAAACCCUGAUGCAGCGACGCCGCGUGAGUGAAGAAGUAAUUCGUUACGUAAAGCUCUAUCAGCAGGGAAGAAAUACUGACCUUACGGUCAGCAGACGGUACCUGAGUAAGAAGCACCGGCUAACUACGUGCCAGCAGCCGCGGUAAUAAGUAGGGGGCAAGCGUUAUCCGGAAUUACUGGGUGUAAAGGGAGCGUAGACGGUGCGCCAAGUCUGGAGUGAAAUGCCGCAGCUUAACUGCGGAACUGCUUUGGAAACUGGCGAACUAGAGUGCGGGAGGGGUAAGCGGAAUUCCUAGUGUAGCGGUGAAAUGCGUAGAUAUUAGGAGGAACACCAGUGGCGAAGGCGGCUUACUGGACCGUAACUGACGUUGAGGCUCGAAAGCGUGGGGAGCAAACAGGAUUAGAUACCCGUGUAGUC
rnacentral:rRNA from 1 species